GUACUUAGUAUUACUUUUGAAUAUGAAUAUGCAGUCGUUUCUGCUGCUUCCGCUUCUACGACCGUUCGGGUUCGAAACUCUUUCAUUUUUAUUGAGAAGGGACUGUUUGAGAAACUUAGCAUCAAAGUUGACCAAAAAUUAAGUUUGCAAAAUAUCUGUUACAGAUAUUACAUAGACUGUAAGGGUGGCAGCAAUCCCGCGGUGUCAUUGUUUUUCGUUAGGAGUAAAUAUGAAUUACGUGUCUUGGAAGGAUGAUUGUGAAUCACAAAUCGGGAGAUGCUCAGGAUAUAUUAAACAACAGCUUACUGCUUGCGAGGUGCGCUAAGCCUCGAAAUGGAUUACGGACUUUAAUUAAUAACACUAAAGCUUAAAGUAAUACAGUGAACUUCCUCUUAAAUAAAUCUGUUCUCCGAA